UACGGAGGGUGCAAGCGUUAUCCGGAUUCACUGGGUUUAAAGGGUGCGUAGGUGGGCAGGUAAGUCAGUGGUGAAAUCUCUGGGCUUAACCCGGAAACUGCCAUUGAUACUAUUUGUCUUGAAUAUCGUGGAGGUCAGCGGAAUAUGUCAUGUAGCGGUGAAAUGCUUAGAUAUGACAUAGAACACCAAUUGCGAAGGCAGCUGGCUACACGAAUAUUGACACUGAUGCACGAAAGCGUGGGGAUCAAACAGG
rnacentral:rRNA from 1 species